rnacentral:rRNA from 1 species
CCUACGGGAGGCAGCAGUGGGGGAUAUUGGACAAUGGGGGAAACCCUGAACCAGCGACGCCGCGUGAGUGAAGAAGUAUCUCGGUAUGUAAAGCUCCAUUAGCAGGGAAGAAAGAAAUGACGGUACCUGAGUAAGAAGCCCCGGCUAACUACGUGCCAGCAGCCGCGUGUAUACGGAGGGGGCAAGCGUUAUCCGGAAUUACUGGGUGGAAAGGGAGCGUUGGGGGUAAUGCAAGUCUGGGGGGAAAGGCGGGGGCCCAAACCCCGGAGUGCUGUGGAAACUGGGUAACUGGAGUGCAGGAGAGGCAGGCGGAAUGCGUGGUGUAGCGGUGAAAUGCGUAGAUAUUAGGCAGAACACCGGUGGCGAAGGCGGCCUGCCGGACCGUAACUGACGCUGAGGCACGAAAGCGUGGGGAGCGAACAGGAUUAGAUACCCGGGUAGUC